AAAAAUUAGAGCUGUUCUUGAGAUUCUCCAAUCUCAUUGUCAGGUAAAGAGCCCAAGUCCAGAGCUAAAUCGUUCCACAGGAUGCAAUGGAACUUCAACAGCUUAUUUAAGCUCGUCUACUGAAGGACCAAUGAAAUCAAUUGUUUUCUCACAGUGGACUAGCAUGUUGGACUUGGUUGAGAUGUCAUUGAAUCAAUAUUGUAUACAGUACAGGAGGCUUGAUGGCACAAUGACUUUGACUGCUAGAGACAGGGCUGCC
rnacentral:misc_RNA from 1 species